rnacentral:rRNA from 1 species
CCAGACUCCUACGGGAGGCAGCAGUGGGGGAUAUUGGACAAUGGGGGAAACCCUGAUCCAGCGACGCCGCGUGAGUGAAGAAGUAUUUCGGUAUGUAAAGCCCUAUCGGCAGGGAAGAAAUUGGACGGUACCUGACUAAGAAGCCCCGGCUAACUACGUGCCAGCAGCCGCGGUAAUACGUAGGGGGCAAGCGUUAUCCGGAUUCACUGGGUGUAAAGGGAGCGUAGACGGCCAUGCAAGCCUGGAGUGAAAGCCCGGGGCCCAACCCUGGGACUGCUCUGGGAACUGUGCGGCUGGAGUGCGGGAGGGGCAGGCGGAAUUCCUGGUGUAGCGGUGAAAUGCGUAGAUAUCAGGAGGAACACCGGCGGCGAAGGCGGCCUGCUGGACCGUGACUGACGUUGAGGCUCGAGAGCGUGGGGAGCAAACAGGAUUAGAUACCCUUGUA